GUUGGCGUGAAUUGGUUUGGUUCGGUUCCUCGCGCCAACGACCGUGUGUGUUCAGAUUUAUUUUUAAGCUGCACGCAGAAAUACUUUUCUGGUUUAGGGUGCAAAAGAGUUUAAAGUGAAAAGAUAUAUGGAAAAUAUAUGUAUAAAGUGCGAGAUAAAUCUAUAUUAUAUAUUGAGCUGGCACACUUUGAGCAGCUAUAU